GACGAACGCUGGCGGCGUGCUUAACACAUGCAAGUCGAACGGAAAGGCCUGCUUUCCCUUGUGGAUUGCGGGUACUCGAGUGGCGAACGGGUGAGUAGCACGUGAGUGAUCUGCCCCCAACUUGGGUAUAAGCCUGGGAAACUGGGUCUAAUUCCCGAUAGGACUGCAGGGUGGUGCCUGUGGUGGAAAACGAUUUUCUAGUGGUUGGGGAUGAGCUCGCGGCCUAUCAGCUUGUUGGUGGGGUAAUGGCCUACCAAGGCGGCGACGGGUAGCCGGCCUGGGAGGGUGGACGGGCACAGUGGGACUGAGAUACGGCCCAGAAUCCUACGGGAGGCAGCAGUGGGGAAUAGUGCAAAAGGGGCGGAAGCCUGAGGCAGGGACGCCGCGUGGGGGAUGACGGCCUUCGGGUGGUAAACUCCUUUCGGCCGCGAGGAAGCCACCUGGAUGGAAGGGUGGUGACGGUAGUGGUAGAAGAAGCACCGGCUAACUACGUG
rnacentral:rRNA from 1 species